GGUAUAUAUUGUUAGCCUUCAGGCAGAACCCUGCCUGUAAAUGACCUGCUCCUGCACCUACAGAGCAGCGGCGAGUCGUCCACGGCCGGGGGAGCUGCAGCAGCGACGUCUUAGAUCAGCCAGCAGCAGCGAGCAGUUUUCCAUGAAGUUCCAUCAACUCCCUGGCGGAUAGACCAGGUUCUGGGCGUCCAACCCUGCGCCCUAAGCCAGCGCCAGGCACCGGCGUCAGCUCUCCUGCUGUUGCGGAUUGCCCGAGAUUUCCUUAAAUUUAUUAGACUGCACCUCCUGCCCCUCCUGCGCCUCUGCCUGUGUCCAUCACUGGCAAGUGUCAACGCCUCCUGGCGUUAUAACAUAGUGAUGUCGGCGCUGAAGAGUAGGCCUGAUGUGACCUGUCGCCGAUUCUUUUAAUUUUCGGUAGUUUAAAUGGAGAUUUCGUGAACUGUACUUUCACUUCAGCCUAAGCAUUUUGGCCUUGAUACGCUCAAUUUCCUACAUGAAUAUCCCAUUAGAGAAGAUCAUGAAGAUGAGAACCUAUUUUUUCUAUGAUUUACGAAGUGCAGAGCAGGUCGUUCAUUUCGUUCACAAUGAAUCUAUUCUUGUUUCUCAUGCCGUGUCGGUGAGUCCUUUUAUACUUCUGAGUUUGAAGCUCGAGUUCAAAGCCGAUGUAAGAAUAAAUCUUACAGUGCAG
rnacentral:lncRNA from 1 species